AGAGCGGCGUACGGGUGCGGAACACGUGUGCACUGCCUUUAUCUGGGGGAUAGCCUUUCGAAAGGAAGAUUAAUACCCCAUAAUAUGUUGAAUGGCAUCAUUCGACAUUGAAAACUCCGGUGGAUAGAGAUGGGCACGCGCAAGAUUAGAUAGUUGGUGAGGUAACGGCUCACCAAGUCUACGAUCUUUAGGGGGCCUGAGAGGAUGACCAGCCACACUGGAACUGAGACACGGUCCAGACUCCUACGGGAGGCAGCAGUGGGGAAUAUUGCACAAUGGGCGCAAGCCUGAUGCAGCCAUGCCGCGUGUAUGAAGAAGGCCUUCGGGUUGUAAAGUACUUUCAGCGGGGAGGAAGGUGUUGUGGUUAAUAACCACAGCAAUUGACGUUACCCGCAGAAGAAGCACCGGCUAACUCCGUGCCAGCAGCCGCGGUAAUACGGAGGGUGCAAGCGCUAAUCGGAAUUACUGGGCGUAAAGCGCACGCAGGCGGUCUGUCAAGUCGGAUGUGAAAUCCCCGGGCUCAACCUGGGAACUGCAUUCGAAACUGGCAGGCUAGAGUCUUGUAAGGGGGGUAGAAUUCCAGGUGUAGCGGGUGAAAUG
rnacentral:rRNA from 1 species